CCAGACUCCUACGGGAGGCAGCAGUGGGGAAUAUUGCACAAUGGGCGCAAGCCUGAUGCAGCCAUGCCGCGUGUAUGAAGAAGGCCUUCGGGUUGUAAAGUACUUUCAGUCGGGAGGAAGGUGGUAAGGUUAAUAACCUUAUCAAUUGACGUUACCGACAGAAGAAGCACCGGCUAACUCCGUGCCAGCAGCCACGGUAAUACGGAGGGUGCAAGCGUUAAUCGGAAUUACUGGGCGUAAAGCGCACGCAGGCGGUCUGUCAAGUCGGAUGUGAAAUCCCCGGGCUCAACCUGGGAACUGCAUUCGAAACUGGCAGGCUGGAGUCUUGUAGAGGGGGGUAGAAUUCCAGGUGUAGCGGUGAAAUGCGUAGAGAUCUGGAGGAAUACCGGUGGCGAAGGCGGCCCCCUGGACAAAGACUGACGCUCAGGUGCGAAGGCGUGGGGAGCAAACAGGAUUAGAUACCCCAGUACGU
rnacentral:rRNA from 1 species